CUGCCCGGCAGUAAGCUAAGGCAGUCCAGGAAAUAGGAGACUGUGGUUCUGGAAUUGAUGGAAGACUUUGUUUUGGGCCUUUGUGGGGUUCUGUUUUGGACAAGCUCUGUUGCCAGCUUGGUAAAGGGGAAAUAGAGGUCAGCCACGAGAGAGUGCAGCUCUGAGGGCAUGCUAGGGGAGUGUCUUCAGUGAAAUGUCUUCACUGCAGAGUUAGUUUGAGCUAUAAGUUGAGUUUUGCUCCUAACUUGAGUCCUGUUCAGACACAGAAUCACAUAACUCGAGUGUGUGCUUUUAACAUGAGGAUCUCUGUGGGAUCUGCCAUUUUUGUCAUUUCUCUGGAAGGAAAUUCUGAGAAAGAGGCAUUUGAAUUUUUAUAGACCCUGGGGCAGCCCUCAGAUUUAUGAGUCUUGUAAGCUUUUCUGACUGUUCCUGGAAGGACUCUUGUCUCCCGGUGUUCACAGCACACAGCAAACCACCCAUUUCAGAGCACUCAGUGCAUUCUCUUUUUGCACUGAGCAGGAAUUUUUCAUUUUGGCAUAUCCCCUGAAACCUGCUGAAGGAAUUCCAAGGAUUCUGCAUUCAUCCACAAUACUAGAG